CCUACGGGUGGCUGCAGUGAGGAAUAUUGCUCAAUGGACGAGAGUCUGACCCAGCCAAGCAGCGUGAAGGAUGAAUGCCUUCUGGGUUGUAAACUUCUUUUAUAUGGGAAUAAAUUGUUCUACGUGUGUGAUUUUGUAUGUACCAUAUCAAUAAGGAUAGGCCAACUCUGUGCCAGCAGCCGCGGUAAUACGGAGGGUCCGAGCGUUAUCCGGAUUUAUUGGGUUUAACGGGAGCGUAGGUGGAUUGUUAAGUCAGUUGUGAAAGUUUGCGGCUCAACUGUAGAAUUGCAGUGGAAACUGGAAGACUUGAGUACAGUAGAGGUUGGCGGAAUUCGUGGUGUAGCGGUGAAAUGCUUAGAUAUCACGAAGAACACCGAUAGCGAAGGCGGUUCACUGGACUGCAACUGACACUGAGGCUCGAAAGUGUGGGUAUCAAACAGGAUUAGAUACCCCAGUAGUC
rnacentral:rRNA from 1 species